UUGAACGCUGGCGGCAGGCCUAACACCUUCCAGUCGCGCGGAUGAAGGGAGCUUGCUCCUGGAUUCAGCGGCGGACGGGUGAGUAAUGCCUAGGAAUCUGCCUGGUAGUGGGGGAUAACGUCCGGAAACGGGCGCUAAUACCGCAUACGUCCUGAGGGAGAAAGUGGGGGAUCUUCGGACCUCACGCUAUCAGAUGAGCCUAGGUCGGAUUAGCUAGUUGGUGGGGUAAAGGCCUACCAAGGCGACGAUCCGUAACUGGUCUGAGAGGAUGAUCAGUCACACUGGAACUGAGACACGGUCCAGACUCCUACGGGAGGCAGCAGUGGGGAAUAUUGGACAAUGGGCGAAAGCCUGAUCCAGCCAUGCCGCGUGUGUGAAGAAGGUCUUCGGAUUGUAAAGCACUUUAAGUUGGGAGGAAGGGCAGUAAGUUAAUACCUUGCUGUUUUGACGUUACCAACAGAAUAAGCACCGGCUAACUUCGUG
rnacentral:rRNA from 1 species